UUUUUNUUUUUUUUUUUUUUUUCUGGUUGUUCUUGACUUCUUGUUCAAACUUGAAGUGUAAUAUCCUGCAAAUAAGAAGCUUGGAAAGUUGGAAACCAACCAACAAUAGUCAAUCAAUACCUACCGAGUCAUUCCACCCUCAGCACGGAAUCUUGCAUUCAAUUUGAUAUUUGAUAUAGCCAAGGUGGAAGAUAUUCGUAUAGGCGAUGACUAUGUGGAUGUGGAACUUUUAAAUCCCACCACAGUUCUGAUGUGUAUUGGUGUUGAUCUGAUAUCUCUUGUCAACAUAACGUGAAUCAGGUCUCUUCCGCGAGAUUCGGUGAUUACGCAUACCCGGCGGGUUCUUAAUCUGGGUUAAAGUUUACUUUUACGAGAGGACAACAGUGUUGGGUUAUUGGUGUUGAUGGAUUCGACACGUCUCUUCCUGCGGAUGAUAUCAAGAAGGCGUUGAAGGAUCACUUCCGUUCAUGUGGAGUUAUCCUUAAUGUUGAAUUCCCCGGACUCAACUGUCCUGCUUCUGUUAUUAUCGUCGGAGAUGACGUAAAUGACAAGGCCUCGGAAAAUAACGGAAGUGAAGUGGGAGGACGGAAACUAUUGUUACUGCUAAGGUUUGGCUAGUGGUGAAAAUAUUGGAUGUUCCUUUUGCCUAAUAAGAUGACUGACGAAGAGGAGUCAGCUCUGCUCUUUGGUGUUUUCAGAUCGUGAUACACUGCAACCUUUUACCCUUUUGUUUCUUUCUUAUGACUUGUGUGUGGCCCUCUAGGAUUUUCUUCUGGAUGUUGUUUAAGUAAGCCCACUGUCUAUGACGUUUGUUUGUGAAUGAUAAAAGUAAGCCCAAUAGUCGUUAUC